AUAGCGGAGAGGAAACACCCGUUCCCAUCCCGAACACGGAAGUUAAGCUCUCCAGCGCCGAUGGUAGUUGGGGCCAGCGCCCCUGCAAGAGUAGGUCGUUGCUAGGC
rnacentral:rRNA from 1 species